GACCACGUAGCUCAGUUGGCAGAGCAUUGGACUAGUAUCACAAAGGUCGCGGGUUCGAUUCCCACCGUGGCCA
rnacentral:tRNA from 1 species